rnacentral:rRNA from 1 species
AACGAACGCUGGCGGCAUGCCUAAUACAUGCAAGUCGAACGAGAUCUUCGGAUCUAGUGGCGCACGGGUGCGUAACGCGUGGGAAUCUGCCCUUGGGUUCGGAAUAACUUCGGGAAACUGAAGCUAAUACCGGAUGAUGACGUAAGUCCAAAGAUUUAUCGCCCAAGGAUGAGCCCGCGUAGGAUUAGCUAGUUGGUAAGGUAAAGGCUUACCAAGGCGACGAUCCCUAGCUGGUCUGAGAGGAUGAUCAGCCACACUGGGACUGAGACACGGCCCAGACUCCUACGGGAGGCAGCAGUAGGGAAUAUUGGACAAUGGGGGCAACCCUGAUCCAGCAAUGCCGCGUGAGUGAUGAAGGCCUUAGGGUUGUAAAGCUCUUUUACCCGGGAUGAUAAUGACAGUACCGGGAGAAUAAGCCCCGGCUAACUCCGUGCCAGCAGCCGCCGUAA